AGUCAGUCGUUCAGCUGCUAACACAGACUGAGAGCACAGGUUAAAUAUAGAGCAGACUCUCACUCCUGACCAGACUCACAGACAGAGGGAGGCUGAACAUCUUGUGGCGAAAAGAAGAACUGAUUUUAUUCAAGGUGGAAGGAAGAGUCUGUCUAUUCUCAUCUCUCAGCUCUGAAACUACUGCUCUCUCUCUCCUCAGUUUUAACUGUUCCCUCUCUCGCCCCGUGAGUUUGCAGAGCGGACACCGAAGAGGACGAAGCUUCACGCUCCGACUCCAACUUUGGCAGAGAAGAAGAAAAAGUGCAGGUUGGAUUUAAGAAGAAAAGGAGACAAAGACAUUUCAGACUCAUAUAAACACAGUAAUGUUGUGAGUGCUGACCGGUGAACCGGAGUCACUGUGGGACUGAGCUGAUCUGAAACACCUUGGAAGAGAGAGAGCAGGUUAAAAAAAAAUAAAAAAUGCGAUCCAGGACCUGCACCAUGGAGGGUCCAGACGAAGGACACAUCCAGCCCACUAAAGGUUUCAUCAAGCAGGAGGAAAACACACCAGAGCUGACGAAGAGGAAGAUGAAAGUCCAGCGAGAGGAGAAUGACGGCAGGACGGGGGGGACAACGAGAAAACCUCAGAAACCCGCAGAGAGCAGGAAGUCGGCGACGGCGGAUCUGACAAAGGAGGACCUCCUUCGCCUGCUGGGAAUCAUGGAGGGAGAAGUUCAGGCCAGAGAGGACGUCAUCGGCCUGCUAAAGACGGAGAAGACCAGACCGGAGACUCUGGAGGCCCACUACGGUUCAGCUGUCCCCGCCAAACCCCUGCAGGCCCUGCAGAGAGACGGACUCCUCGUCCACAGCAACAAGAGCGCAGACGACGUGUACGAGAAACCCAUGGCCGAGUUGGACCGUCUGGAGGACAAACAGAAGGAGACGUACAGACGGAUGUUGGAGCAGCUGCUGCUGGCCGAGAAAUGUCACCGCCGCACCGUCGUGGAGCUGGACAACGAGAAACGCAAACACGCCGACUUCAUGAACAAGAGCGACGACUUCACCAACCUGCUGGAGCAGGAGAGGGAGAGACUCAAGCGGCUGCUGGAGCAGGAGAAGGCCUACCAGGCUCGUAAGGACAAGGACCACAACAGGAGGCUGGAGAAGGUCAGAGCGGAGCUGGUGAAGCUCAAGUCCUUUGCCCUGAUGUUGGUAGACGAGCGGCAGCUGCACAUCGAGCAGAUCGACCAGCAGAGCCAGAAGAUCCAGGACCUCACUCAGAAGCUGCAGGAGAAAGAGCAGCGAUUGGCGGCGGCCACCGACACCGCCAAGGAGGACGGCCAGAAGGUCCUGAAGCUGGAGGCCGAGCUGGAGCACAGAGCGGCCAAGUUCACGCAGGAGCACGAGGAGAUGAACUCAAAGCUGGCCAACCACGACACACAAAGCCGACAGCUGAGGCUGAAGCUGGCGGGACUCGCGCACAAGAUCGAGGAGCUGGAGGAGAGCAAAAAGGCGCUGCAGAAAUCAGAGGAGGACCUGCAGGAGCUGAGGGAGAAGAUCAGCAAAGGGGAGUGCGGCAAUUCGUCCGUCAUGGCCGAGCUGGAGAAUCUGCGGAAGAGAGUGCUGGAGAUGGAGGGCAAGGACGAGGAGAUCACCAAGACAGAGACUCAGUGCAGGGAGCUGAGGAAGAGGCUGCAGGAGGAGGAGAACCACAGCAAGGAGCUGAGGCUGGAGGUGGAUAAACUGCAGAAGAGGAUGGUUGAACUGGAGAAACUGGAGGGAGCUUUCAACAGGAGCAAAACAGAGUGUUCUCAGCUUCACGCAAACCUGGAAAAAGAGAAACGUGUUGUGAAGGAUCUGGCCGGUGACCUGGACACGGUGAAAAACCGGCUGAAAGAACUGGAGUCGUCGGAGUCGAAGUUUGAAAAGGCAGAAAUGGUCUUCAAAGACGACCUCAUGAAGCUGAAGUCCUUCACCGUCAUACUGGUGGACGAAAGGAAAAACAUGGCGGAGAGACUCAAACAGGAAGAACAGAAAAGUGAUGAUUUAAGUAAGAUGUUCAAGGCGGAGCAAGGCAAGGUGACAGAGGUCACGGAGAAGCUGAUUGAGGAGAGCAAGAAGCUUCUCAAAUUCAAAUCAGAGAUGGAGGUUAAAGUGACGAUGCUCGCUAGAGAGAAAGACGAGCUAAAAACAAGACUAGCAAGUGAAGAGGAAAAGUGUCGGGAGCUUAAUAAGAAGAUAAGUGGUAUGAAAAUAAGAGUGGACGGACUGGAGGAGACGGAGAGGGAAAUGCAGAGGAAGUGGGCCAACAGGGACAGUAACAAGAAUCCAGAUGAAGACAACAAAGUGAAAGAGCUCACGCUAGAAAUAGAAAGACUAAAGAGCAGGCUCAAACAACUGGAGGUGGUGGAGGGAGAUUUAAUGAAAACAGAGGACGAGUACGAUCUGCUGGAGAAGAAAUUCAGAACAGAGCAGGACAAAGCAAACGCCCUCUCUAAGCUGCUGGAAGAAAUGAAAAGUCAGAUCGCCAGAAACAAAGCGAUAGAGAAAGGCGAGGUCAUGAGUCCCGAGGCCGAGCUGAGGAUUCGCUGCAAGAUGGAGGAGGCUAAAACCAGAGAGCUGCAGGCGGACGUCCAGGCCCUGAAGGAGAAAAUCCACGAGCUGAUGAACAAGGAGGACCAGCUCUCCCAGCUGCAGGUGGAUUACUCCGUCCUGCAGCAGAGGUUCAUGGAGGAGGAGCAGAAGAGGAAGAGCAUGAGUCAGGAAGUGUACGGCCUCAUCAAGGAGCUGGAGGCCACCAAGCGCUACAGUCGCGCCUUGAGGCCGAGUAUGAACGGCAGGAGGAUGGUCGACGUCCCGGUGACCUCCACAGCGGUGCAGACGGAUGUGAUCGGCGGUGAGCCGGCUGAGGAUGAGACGACGGCGGGCUUUAUCCGAAAAUCAGUCCUCGAGGAAAACCACUUAAUGAGCAACCUCAGACAGCGGGGUCUUAAGAAGCCCACAGUCCUUGAACGUUACCCUCCGGCGUCUGCAGAACUCGGGGCAAGAAAGUCCUGGGUCCCCUGGAUGAAAAAGAGAGAGGCCAUCACUCUCACCUCGUCUGAGAAGACCAACAGGACGUCCUUGCUCCCGCCGGAAAUGACCAUGUCCCAAAAGCCGGGUCAGCCGCUGCACAUCCGAGUGACUCCGGAUCACGAGAACAGCACGGCCACGCUGGAGAUCACCAGCCCUCGAGCUGAGGAUUUCUUCUCCAGCACCACCAUCAUCCCGACGCUCGGCCUUCAGAAACCGCGCAUCACGAUCGUCCCCAAGCCCACGACCGUGAGCUCCAAGAGCAAAGCCUGCGACGCGGCGGGAGGUCUCGAUCGAGCCAAGUCUCCGGUCACGAUAACCACCAUCUCCAGGGCCAAGAGUCCGGAGAAGACCAGCGGCAGCAGCUCCAGGGGCCUUCAGUCUCCGGUGUCCAUCAUCACUGUCAGCACUACACCUGUGGCUGAAGCAUGUGCCUCACCUGAGCCUCACGAAAUCACCGCGACCCGCACGGUGAUCAAGAUGACCCCGGAGAAGCAACCGGGGCUUCCACCUGUCAGGAAAUACAGCGCCAACAGCAACAUCAUCACCACAGAGGACAAUAAGAUCCACAUCCACCUGGGCCCACAGUUCAAAAGGCCGUCUGAGGGAUGUGGUGGUCCCAUGCUGAAGCUCAAAACUCUCGCUAUGAGCUCAGAGAGCAAAGAAGCGUCGACAGGAACGGUGCUCCGGUCCCCACGGCAACCCGCAACGGGGAAGACGACCCCGAGCAAGAUGACGAGCAGCAUAACGAUCACACCCGUCACCUCGGCGGCCUCCAGGCCCACACAGUCAGUGCCCGGUUCGGAUGUGCAGUCAGCUCGGAGCGCCGCCACACGGAUCCCUGUGUCAAAAGGUAUGAAACCCAGCAGCAAGGCGGUUCUGGGGGUGUCGGCGGUGGCGAGGUUAGAGUCGCGGGCCGAGAGCCAGUCGAUGAAAAUCGAGCUGAGGAAGUCGAUGGUGUGCGGCUCGGCCUCUGCAGCAGCAGCAGGCAAGAGCUGAGGGCUAAACACGCUGCCAUGGCAACGCCUCAAUGUGAUCAUCUCAUGAUUGAGUUUGUUGCUGAAUCUGCUGCCAAAUCGUGUUGGCCGUGACUCCCUCGAGGCCGCCGCUGCCGCUGCCGCCGCCGCACGGAGACUUUGGUGGAUCAAAUGUUUCUUCCUGGGAACAACAUCAGAGGCAGGAUUGUUAAAAUCACAUCAGAGCCUGGUCAUGCCAUGUCCCUCUUCCUCUGGGAAAACUGUAGAGGAACCUGGACAAGGACUUUCCUGCUGCAGUGAAGCUGCGUCUCAAAUUCUUCUUGUUUCCUGAAUAAAAAUGUAGAGAUCAAUAUCAAUAUCAUAUCAAUAUUGUGAUAACAAUUAAUGGCCAACGGACUCCAGCUACAACUACAGGCUUUUACCUGUCUGGGCCCAUUAGUGUCACACUCUUUGUUAACUGCUUCAAAUAUGUAACACAAUAAAAUACAGAUCAUUUACCUUCAAUUUCCAUUUAAGUGGUGUGACUACAUGGAUUACUUCAAAUAUAUUAAAUUACAUGUUUUAUCAAAUAAUUAAAUUCAUUCUUCAGAGAAUCGUCAUAAAUAAAUUUGAUCGUUGAGCCAAAAUGAGGAAACCAGAUCUGUUGUGAUUCUCUACCACAGGUUCAGUGAUGGAUUCAGCCACCAGCCGGCGCUGAGCUGAGAUCUGAGGGUGUCCGAUGGGAGAUAAUGUUCUUUUAUCUGAAGAACCUCAUCAAGACACUGAGACAGAAACGUCUCUUACAUUAUACAAGACAUGAUACAAACAAGGCUGCAGUUUGAAAUGAAUAAAGAGCAGAAAGGAUGUCAUCGGCAGGUUAUAUACUGUAUGUGCGAUAUGCAGUUUGGAAUAUGAAAUUAUGAUACGUGAAAGAUAUCAGAUCUAUUUUCACGUGAAUUUGGCACAAAACUGAUCAAUUUCCAUGAGAAUUUUUAGUUAAUACAUAUAAUCAAUAGAUGCCACAUGACAGAAAAAGAAUCAGAAUAGGUUCCUUUUACCUGUUGGCUUUCAUUUUCUUUUUUUGUUUGAAAAUUGAGGAUUAUGAAAUUGUUCAAUAUAUAUAUUUUUGGCAUGAAGUAUUCCUGAGCUCCUGUUAUGUGUGAUAUGGUUCUGGACAACUGAAUGUGGUUUAAAGUUGGAUUUUGAAAGUUGUUGAAUUACAUAGGUUGUACUGAAAGUAGGAAUGAUAAUGACAGCAAUGACGUGAGAUUUAAGUGUAUUUGAUGGUAUAGUAAAUACAGUAUAAAGAAUGAACCAUUUGCAUAUUAUCUCUGUUUAUCAAAGCUGUUACACACACAAGUACAAAUUCAGAAUUUGAAGUUCUUCCGUGUUUGUUUUCUUCCCAAAAAGCCACUUAUAACAAAGAACAUGUGUUUUUCUGUUUAAAUUCAAUUUUAAACACACGUCAUACAUUUUCCUUUUAAGUCCAUGUGAUUAUUUUCUGAUUGUUGUGAUAAAUCACACAGAAAUAAUGAUGCAUAAUGACUGACCACUUCUUCACGAUGGAAGCAGGUACUGAAUAAAUACUGAACGUAUACACUCUGAA